GACGAACGCUGGCGGCGUGCUUAACACAUGCAAGUCGAACGGAAAGGCCCUGCUUUUGUGGGGUGCUCGAGUGGCGAACGGGUGAGUAACACGUGAGUAACCUGCCCUUGACUUUGGGAUAACUUCAGGAAACUGGGGCUAAUACCGGAUAGGAGCUCCUGCUGCAUGGUGGGGGUUGGAAAGUUUCGGCGGUUGGGGAUGGACUCGCGGCUUAUCAGCUUGUUGGUGGGGUAGUGGCUUACCAAGGCUUUGACGGGUAGCCGGCCUGAGAGGGUGACCGGCCACAUUGGGACUGAGAUACGGCCCAGACUCCUACGGGAGGCAGCAGUGGGGAAUAUUGCACAAUGGGCGGAAGCCUGAUGCAGCAACGCCGCGUGCGGGAUGACGGCCUUCGGGUUGUAAACCGCUUUCGCCUGUGACGAAGCGUGAGUGACGGUAAUGGGUAAAGAAGCACCGGCUAACUACGUGCCAGCAGCCGCGGUGAUACGUAGGGUGCGAGCGUUGUCCGGAUUUAUUGGGCGUAAAGGGCUCGUAGGUGGUUGAUCGCGUCGGAAGUGUAAUCUUGGGGCUUAACCCUGAGCGUGCUUUCGAUACGGGUUGACUUGAGGAAGGUAGGGGAGAAUGGAAUUCCUGGUGGAGCGGUGGAAUGCGCAGAUAUCAGGAGGAACACCAGUGGCGAAGGCGGUUCUCUGGGCCUUUCCUGACGCUGAGGAGCGAAAGCGUGGGGAGCGAACAGGCUUAGGUACCCUGGUAGUCCACGCUGUAAACGGUGGGUACUGGGUGUGGGGUCCAUUCCACGGGUUCCGUGCCGUAGCUAACGCUUUAAGUACCCCGCCUGGGGAGUACGGCCGCAAGGCUAAAACUCAAAGGAAUUGACGGGGCCCCGCACAAGCGGCGGAGCAUGCGGAUUAAUUCGAUGCAACGCGUAGAACCUUACCUGGGUUUGACAUGGAUCGGGAGUGCUCAGAGAUGGGUGUGCCUCUUUUGGGGUCGGUUCACAGGUGGUGCAUGCCUGUCGUCAGCUCGUGUCGUGAGAUGUUGGGUUAAGUCCCGCAACGAGCGCAACCCUUGUUCACUGUUGCCAGCACGUUAUGGUGGGGACUCAGUGGAGACCGCCGGGGUCAACUCGGAGGAAGGUGGGGAUGACGUCAAGUCCUCAUGCCCCUUAUGUCCAGGGCUUCACGCAUGCUACAAUGGCUGGUACAGAGAGUGGCGAGCCUGUGAGGGUGAGCGAAUCUCGGAAAGCCGGUCUCAGUUCGGAUUGGGGUCUGCAACUCGACCUCAUGAAGUCGGAGUCGCUAGUAAUCGCAGAUCAGCAACGCUGCGGUGAAUACGUUCCCGGGGCUUGUACUCACCGCCCGUCA
rnacentral:rRNA from 1 species